rnacentral:lncRNA from 10 species
CUUUUACAGCCCUGUGAAUUCAUCCAUCCAAAUUGCUGGCUUUCCAGUAUCUUUCAAUACUGGAAGCUCUUCAAUACUGCUGGCUCUUCAGUAUCCAGUAUGACCUUCAAGUCAUAUAUCAAGGUGCACCUCUCAUUUGACUCUGAACAAGGAGGUCUAACUUCAUGAAAUCUCUGGAAAAAGGGUAGAAAAUUCAAGCAGCAAUGACUAUUGUCUGAGGUAAACCAUCAAGAGAGACCGAGCGUGGUUUUCAACUGUGGCCAAUGGUACAGUGGAAAAGAAAUAGUAUGAAAUUGGAGGUCAUACCAACUACCAUGAUCUCAGAAUAGCCCUAUGAAUCACCCAAGGCAAACAUUGUUACCACAUUUUACAGACGAAGAUAUCAACGUUUAAAGAGGUCUCAAAAGCAAAAAUAGCAGAAAGCAAGAUGUGUAGACUUAAUGAAUGUAUAAUGGAGAUUCUUAAUGUUUUAUGACUUGUACAUUUUGAAAUUAGUGGGUUUUUUUUUGUUUGCUUUGUUUUGAGAUUGAGUUUCGCUCUUGUUGCCC